AUGAGGACUACUUUUAAGGAUGUUUUGAGGACAACUGAUCCAGUUCCAUUGCCAAAGGCUACUACUUCUGAAAUACUUGCCGUAGUUGAGUUGAUACCAGAGUUGGCAGAAGCAGACAUGUUACGCUCUUAUAGGAAGUUGAUUCUUAACGAGCGCUUGCCUGAAGCUCUAAUCGAGUUGCCCAUGCACAUGAGGACGGUUUGGUUGCUACUGUUGCCUUGA
rnacentral:rRNA from 1 species